rnacentral:rRNA from 1 species
GCGUACGGGUGAGUAACACGUGGGUAUCUACCAAAGAGCCUGGAAUAACCGGCCGAAAGGCUGGCUAAUACUGGAUAGAUCAAGCGGGUUGUAAAGAUCCGAUUGGGAAAGGGAGCGGGUAACCGCCUUCACUUUUUGAUGAGCCCGCGUCUGAUUAGCUAGUUGGUGAGGUAACGGCUCACCAAGGCAGAGAUCAGUAGCUGGUCUGAGAGGAUGAUCAGCCACACUGGAACUGAAACACGGUCCAGACUCCUACGGGAGGCAGCAGUGGGGAAUCUUGCGCAAUGGGCGAAAGGCCUGACGCAGCCACGCCGCGUGAGUGAAGAAGGCCUUCGGGUUGUAAAGCUCUGUCGGAAGGGGACAAAAACGUUUACGGUUAAAUAGCCGUAGAUCUUGAUGGUACCCUUAAAGGAAGCACCGGCUAACUUCGUGCCAGCAGCCGCGGUAAUACGAAGGGUGCAA